UACGUAGGGUGCGAGCGUUUGUCCGGAAUUAUUGGGCGUAAAGAGCUUGUAGGCGGUCUGUCGCGUCUGCUGUGAAAAUCCGGGGCUCAACCCCGGACUUGCAGUGGGUACGGGCAGACUAGAGUGUGGUAGGGGAGACUGGAAUUCCUGGUGUAGCGGUGAAAUGCGCAGAUAUCAGGAGGGAACACCGGUGGGCGAAGG
rnacentral:rRNA from 1 species